GCACAAGCGGUGGAUGAUGUGGAUUAAUUCGAUGCAACGCGAAGAACCUUACCUACCCUUGACAUGUCCGGAACUUGCCAGAGAUGGCUUGGUGCCCGAAAGGGAAUCGGAACACAGGUGCUGCAUGGCUGUCGUCAGCUCGUGUCGUGAGAUGUUGGGUUAAGUCCCGCAACGAGCGCAACCCUUAUCAUUAGUUGCUACGCAAGGGCACUCUAAUGAGACUGCCGGUGACAAACCGGAGGAAGGUGGGGAUGACGUCAAGUCCUCAUGGCCCUUAUGGGUAGGGCUUCACACGUCAUACAAUGGUCGGUACAGAGGGUUGCCAACCCGCGAGGGGGAGCUAAUCCCACAAAGCCGAUCGUAGUCCGGAUCGCAGUCUGCAACUCGACUGCGUGAAGUCGGAAUCGCUAGUAAUCGUGGAUCAGCAUGUCACGGUGAAUACGUUCCCGGGUCUU
rnacentral:rRNA from 1 species